rnacentral:rRNA from 1 species
GACGAACGCUGGCGGCGUGCUUAACACAUGCAAGUCGAACGGAAAGGCCCUGCUUUCGUGGGGUGCUCGAGUGGCGAACGGGUGAGUAACACGUGAGUAACCUGCCCUUGACUUUCGGAUAACUUCAGGAAACUGGGGCUAAUACCGGAUAGGAGCUCCUGCUGCAUGGUGGGCGUUGGAAAGUUUCGGCGGUUGGGGAUGGACUCGCGGCUUAUCAGCUUGUUGGUGGGGUAGUGGCUUACCAAGGCUUUGACGGGUAGCCGGCCUGAGAGGGUGACCGGCCACAGUGGGACUGAGAUACGGCCCAGACUCCUACGGGAGACAGCAGUGGGGAAUAUUGCACAAUGGGCGGAAGCCGGAUGCAGCAACGCCGCGUGCGGGAUGACGGCCUUCGGGUUGUGAACCGCAUUCGCCUGUGACGAAGCGUGGGUGACGGUAAUGGGUAAAGAAGCACCGGCUAACUACGUG